AAUGAACGCUGGCGGCGUGUUUAAGACAUGCAAGUUGAACGGAGAGUAUUUAGUUUACUAGAUACUCUUAGUGGCGGACGGGUGAGUAACACGUGAGCAACCUACCUCAAAGAAAAGGAUAGUCCUGGGAAACUGGGUUUAAUACUUUAUGUGCAUAUAUGUAAAGGUGGCUUCGGCUGCCGCUUUGAGAUGGGCUCGCGUCCUAUCAGCUAGUUGGUGAGGUAAAGGCUCACCAAGGCGACGACGGGUAGCUGGUCUUAGAGGAUGAUCAGUCACACUGGAACUGAGACACGGUCCAGACACCUACGGGUGGCAGCAGUCGAGAAUAAUUCACAAUGGACGAAAGUCUGAUGGUGCAACGCCGCGUGGAGGAUGACGGUUUUCGGAUUGUAAACUCCUGUCAUCGGGGAGUAAGUCUUAGUAGUUAAAAGCUGUUAAGAUUGAGAGUACCCGAAGAGGAAGGGACGGCUAACUUCG
rnacentral:rRNA from 1 species